ensembl:miRNA
UUGCCUGAUUCCAGGCUGAGGUAGUAGUUUGUACAGUUUGAGGGUCUAUGAUACCACCCGGUACAGGAGAUAACUGUACAGGCCACUGCCUUGCCUGGGAC